rnacentral:RNase_P_RNA from 1 species
CAGGGCAAACGGAUGAUUGCUUCGAUGUCCGCCAGCUGGCGGAUCGGAGAGGAAAGUCCGGACUCCGAAAGUGCUUCGGCACAGGAAAGCGGCAGUGGAUAAUGUCCACCAAGAGUAAUCUUAGGGAAAGUGCCACAGAGACGAUACUAGUCCGCCAAUUCGGCGGAUGAAAGGUGAAAAGCUUCCUGGUGUUUGGGUUAUUUAGGAUAUCCAAUUAACUCAAGCUAUAGGAUUCGUCCUCCGGCGACGGAGAGACGCGGUAAACCCUGCCUGGAGCAAGAGCAAACCAUCCCGAGUCCUCGGGGUGACGAAAAGUGGCUCGCUUGAGCUUGCCAGCAAUGGCCGGCCCAGAUAGAUAAUCAUCUCCCCGCUAUUUCAGCGGGGGACAGAAUCCGGCUUACAGUUUGCCCUGAAAU